UGCUCUAUCUGUAGUAUGGAACCAGAAGAUGGAUACCAUGCGGUCAUGAGAUGUACUAAAGCUAAAGCUUUAUGUGAGAUCAUGCAAGAGAUCUAGACGCUCCCUAAAGACACUGACCUGACAUGUACGGGACGUGAGUUUCUCCUAACUCUGGCAAAGGCUAACGAGGAGGAGCGGUCACACCUACUCUUUCUCUGGUGGCGAGCAUAGCAUCUCAGAAAUAAUAUUAUUUUUGGUGACGGGAAGGCUACAAUAAAAGCCUGAGCGGAGUUCCUACAAAGUUAUGCUACCUCUUUUGCGGCGAUCAAAGCCGGUAUGAAUGUUCCUGACCAUAAAGGAUGGCUUAAAUUGAAUGUCAAUGCUAGCUUUAUUCAGGAAACAAACUUCGGAGCUUGGAGGGCGGUUCUCCGUGAUAUGAAUGGAGCGGUGCGUGGCUCUGCUUGGAGCACAAUUCGUAACUGUGCUAGUGCUGAGGCAGCCGAAGCGGAAGCUUGUCUUCAAGGAAUCCGAGAAACCAUGAUGCUCAUAGACCGGCCAAUGGUUAUUGAGAGCGACUGCGCGAAUGUUGUUAGACAACUCUCUUCUAAGGAUUUUAUCAGAUCCCCAAUUGGGAACGUGGUUAGGGAAAUCCUGAGAUUGCUGGGCCAACUUCCCGAUUUUACUAUUGCUAAGAUUUCUAGAAAUGGCAAUAGGGUUGCCCAUGCUCUCGCUAGUUAUGGUAGGAGUGGUGUGAGUAAGGGUGUGUUGAUCGACACAGUUCCGACCUGCGUGUUGCGACUGGUCGACGAUAAUAUAAUACACACCUUUUUCAAAAAAAAAAUGUUCAAGCUGUCAGCUGAAUAG
rnacentral:rRNA from 1 species